rnacentral:tRNA from 1 species
GGCCUUGUAUUCAUUUUGUGAUUAUAGAAUGCAAUUCUGUAGGGAUAAGUUAAAUUACUUAUCAAGGCCU